rnacentral:rRNA from 1 species
GACGAACGCUGGCGGCGUGCCUAAUACAUGCAAGUCGAACGCAGUGGGGACGGGUGAGUAACCCGUGGGUAACCUCCCAUCAGAGGGGAUAACACUUGGAAACAGGUGCUAAUCCGAUACUGAUGGAUGGACCCGCAGUGCAUUAGCUAGUUGGUGAGGUAACGGCUCACCAAGGCCACGAGGCAUAGCCGGCGUGAGAGGUUGGUCAGCCACACUGGGACUGAGACACGGCCCAGAUUCCUACGGGAGGCAGCAGUGGGGAAGAUGCCGCAAUGGACGAAAGUCUGACGGAGCGAAGCCGCGUGAGUGAAGAAGGUAUUCGGAGCGUAAAGCUCUGUUAGUAGGGAAGAGGUAUCUAACCAGAAAGCCACGGCUAACUCCGUGCCAGCCGCCGCGGUAAUAC